rnacentral:rRNA from 1 species
GUCAGCGGCAGACGGGUGAGUAACGCGUGGGAACGUACCUUUUGGUUCGGAACAACACAGGGAAACUUGUGCUAAUACCGGAUAAGCCCUUACGGGGGAAGAUUUAUCGCCGAAAGAUCGGCCCGCGUCUGAUUAGCUAGUUGGUGAGGUAAUGGCUCACCAAGGCGACGAUCAGUAGCUGGUCUGAGAGGAUGAUCAGCCACAUUGGGACUGAGACACGGCCCGAACUCCUACGGGAGGCAGCAGUGGGGAAUAUUGGACAAUGGGCGCAAGCCUGAUCCAGCCAUGCCGCGUGAGUGAUGAAGGCCCUAGGGUUGUAAAGCUCUUUUGUGCGGGAAGAUAAUGACGGUACCGCAAGAAUAAGCCCCGGCUAACUUCGUGCCAGCAGCCGCGGUAAUACGAAGGGGGCUAGCGUUGCUCGGAAUCACUGGGCGUAAAGGGUGCGUAGGCGGGUCUUUAAGUCAGGGGUGAAAUCCUGGAGCUCAACUCCAGAACUGCCUUUGAUACUGAAGAUCUUGAGUUCGGGAGAGGUGAGUGGAACUGCGAGUGUAGAGGUGAAAUUCGUAGAUAUUCGCAAGACACCAGUGGCGAAGCGGCUCACUGGCCCGAUACUGAC